rnacentral:rRNA from 1 species
GACGAACGCUGGCGGCGUGCUUAACACAUGCAAGUCGAACGGAAAGGCCCUGCUUUUGUGGGGUGCUCGAGUGGCGAACGGGUGAGUAACACGUGAGUAACCUGCCCUUGACUUUGGGAUAACUUCAGGAAACUGGGGCUAAUACCGGAUAGGAGCUCCUGCUGCAUGGUGGGGGUUGGAAAGUUUCGGCGGUUGGGGAUGGACUCGCGGCUUAUCAGCUUGUUGGUGGGGUAGUGGCUUACCAAGGCUUUGACGGGUAGCCGGCCUGAGAGGGUGACCGGCCACAUUGGGACUGAGAUACGGCCCAGACUCCUACGGGAGGCAGCAGUGGGGAAUAUUGCACAAUGGGCGGAAGCCUGAUGCAGCAACGCCGCGUGCGGGAGGACGGCCUUCGGGUUGUAAACCGCUUUCGCCUGUGGCGAAGCGUGAGUGACGGUAAUGGGUAAAGAAGCACCGGCUAACUACGU